AUACCAUGUGUUUAAUCCCAUGUCUAAGUAUGUUCUUACUCUGCCCCAACAUUCUAUUACCGGGCAUGUUAUCAGGUCUGGCUUAGCCUUUGAUGGGAAUCACUAUCAAGUUGUGCUUGCACAUGCGGCUGACACGGAAGGGGAUUUUGUUGGCCUUGAAAUGGAGAUCUUUUCUUCUGAUACUGGAAAAUGGAGAAGAUUCCAUCCCAA
rnacentral:misc_RNA from 1 species